GACGAACGCUGGCGGCGUGCUUAACACAUGCAAGUCGAGCGGUAAGGCCCUUCGGGUACACGAGCGGCGAACGGGUGAGUAACACGUGGGUGACCUGCCCUCAGCUCUGGGAUAAGCCUGGGAAACCGGGGUCUAAUACCGGAUAUGACUCCAUGACGCAUGUUGUGGGGUGGAAAGCCUUGUGCGGCUGAGGAUGGGCCCGCGGCCUAUCAGCUUGUUGGUGGGGGGAU
rnacentral:rRNA from 1 species